CAGAGUUGCAAAACUCCCACAAACCAUCGCGAAUCUUACCCGUACGGUUGCCUCGGCGCUGGCGGUCCGGAAGGCCCUCGGGCCCCCCGGAUCCUCGGGUCUCCCGCUCGCGGGAGGCUGCCCGCCGGAGCUGCCGAAACCAAACUCUUGAUAUUUUAUGUCUCUCUGAGUAAACUUUUAAAUAAGUCA
rnacentral:misc_RNA from 1 species